CAGUAGCCGCGGUAAUACAGAGGGUGCGAGCGUUAAUCGGAUUUACUGGGCGUAAAGCGUGCGUAGGCGGCUUCUUAAGUCGGAUGUGAAAUCCCUGAGCUUAACUUAGGAAUUGCAUUCGAUACUGGGAAGCUAGAGUAUGGGAGAGGAUGGUAGAAUUCCAGGUGUAGCGGUGAAAUGCGUAGAGAUCUGGAGGAAUACCGAUGGCGAAGGCAGCCAUCUGGCCUAAUACUGACGCUGAGGUACGAAAGCAUGGGGAGCAAACAGGAUUAGAUACCCGCGUAGUCCAUGUCUCUUAUAA
rnacentral:rRNA from 1 species